AAAACAUUCAGACCGCUGGUCUACCGAGCGUGAUCACCCACCCACUCGGCGGAAGAUCUUCCCUUUGUCGU
rnacentral:pre_miRNA from 1 species